UUGUUCUCUUUACUUUUUACAGAGUCUGUUGCGUUUUGAGCUUUCCUUUUUUUGAUUUGUCGACCCUAGAAGGUCACAGCUGACGGACUAUUUAUAAAGUCCCAUAUGCAGCUUUGUAGCCUCACGUUUUUACCUAUUAUCAAUAAAGAGAGCAUUUUCUUUAGCAAAACCCUAGAGCUACAAAGACUUGUGCGGCUGUCCCUUGUCUUUGUGUUCUUCCGACUUAUCAAAGCUAGAUCAUAAGCUUUGUGGCGUCCUUCGAUCCACCGGUUACUAUCAUCCCCGAGUUCGUUCAUUGGACUUAAACAAAGAGAGCCUUGAGGCCAGUUGUUUAAGUCACCAUCUUCCCCACACUUCAUUCAUCUCGUGUCCGAGUAGAGAGAGCCUUGAGGCCAGCUACAAGGAUCCAACUCACACUACACCCGAUCUUAUAUCAUUUUGGUAUCAGAGCCGAAAGGUUCUGCAUCAUGUGAUAUUUAUCUGAUCUGUUCCCUUCUUUUCAUUUUGUGUUUAAGUGUCUUUGAUUUGUUUUAAGUUGAGUAGUUACCGUGUUAAAAAAAAAAAAGAAUAGAACAUACUCGCAUCUAGUUUUCUUAGCUUACCUUUUGCAUUUAAGACCAAAGAAAAGUCAUAAAAACAUGUUGUGCAACUAGCUAUUUAGUCGAACUCAUUUGUUAUUGCAUCCAAAAUUCAAAAAAAAAAAAAAAAAAGCAUAUCUAUAUACCCCGUCUUCUAUAGUUUUGAGCAUUGCAUUAAGUUUCGCCAAGUUCAAUAGUUUAAACACCCUCAGUUGCGUGUGAUCUAGUGUUGUUUCUGUUGAGUUAUAGAUUCAUGGAGGAACAAGCUGUACCGGCCCAAGACACUAUCUUCCAAGCCAUUGCGGCAAUGCGACAAGACAUGGCCGCACAACUAGGCCGUAUGGAGGAGAGGGUUGGACGGUUGGAGGUACCAAGGCGAGAGGCCGUCAGGCCAAUUCAAGUGCCACCACCACAACCACAACAGGGCCAAGGAGAUGAGAACAUGGCUGAAGAGGAAGGAGAUGUGAACAACAAUCAAAGGAGACAAGACCCUCCUGACUUAAGAGCACACCAACGGCUACGAGACCCUGUCAACCGCGGCCGAAUCAGAGACGACGAAGGUAAUAGGCAGGGAAACAAGGAUAUCAAGCUAACGGCUCCUACUUUUGCAGGCAAGGUGGAUCCCGAUGCUUAUCUAGAAUGGGAAAGACGAAUGGAAUACAUCUUUGAGUACUACGGCUACAACGAUCAGAGGAGAGUGGCCUUAGCAGCGGCUCAACUCACCGACCAUGCCUUGUCUUGGUGGGACCGAGAUGUGGCUGAGAGGAGGAGACAUCGCUACGAACAAAUCAGUACAUGGGCCGCGAUGAGAUACAAUCUCCGAAGGAGGUAUGUACCACCUUAUUUCCAUAGAGACUUACAAAAGCGAUUUAGAAAGUUGGUGCAGGGUAACAAGUCAGUUGAAGAAUAUUUUGAGGAAUUUGAGACCCUCCGGAACAAGCUAGAACAAGAAGAUACCGAGGAGAACCUCAUGGCUCAAUUCCUUGAUGGCCUUCAUGACCGUAUUGCGAGAAAGGUGGAGAGGCAACCCUACCAUGACAUUUCUGAGCUCCUACACUUAGCCAUUCAGGCUGAGCAGCACAUUAAGCGCAAAACGACGGCCACCAAUCGCACCAAGCACAACCAAACGUGGAGCCAGCAACCGCCUAGAACGUUAGACAAGGGUAAAGCGGUGGAGACCAACUCCAAAUAUCAGAAGCCGCCAGCUGAGCCAUUCAAAAGCAAUCGGCCAGACGCGGGUAAGGUUACAAGUACUUCUAGAUCGAGAGAUAUCAUUUGUUUUAAGUGUCAGGGGCGAGGGCAUAUGGCGAGAGACUGUCCUAAUCAAAGAGCCAUGAUCAUGACCUCAAACGGCGAGUACGAGUCUCAAGAUGAAUAGGACGAGGAGGACGAUGCCGAGCUUGACACUGACAUCGAAUACCCUGAUUCUGGUGAGAUGCUAGUGAUCAGAAGAGCCCUCAGUGCCAUAGUUGAACCAGAAACCGUACAGAGGGAAAACAUAUUUCACACCAGGUGCACCGUGCACAACAAGGUAUGUAGUUUAAUCAUCGAUGGGGGUUCUUGUACUAACGUAGCCUGCAAGACUAUGGUUGUUAAGCUAGGUUUAAAGACAAGUAAGCACCCUAGGCCCUAUAGACUCAGAUGGCUUAACGAUGAGACCGAACUAAAGAUCACCGAGAAGGUUACCAUUCCUUUUAGCAUCGGUAAGUAUAGCGAUCAAGUGGAGUGUGAUGUGGUGCCUAUGCAAGCCGGCCAUCUUCUGUUAGGAAGGCCUUGGCAAUUUGACAAGGAGACUCUCCACAAUGGCCGAACCAACCAUUACGUCUUCACUCAUGAUAAACGUAAGUUCACACUUGCUCCACUCACACCGGCUCAAGUCCAUGAGAUGCAACUUAAGUGUGCAAAGGACUCCCAGGUAAGUAAGACUAACUUAUUUAUCACCUCAACUGAUGUUUCUAAAGCUAUAGAUCACCAUAUGCCUGUGCUACUAAUGGUCUUCCGAGAGGCCCUUCUUGCAGGAACCGGUGAGUCUGAGCUACCACUCGAGGCCAGAUCUUUGUUAGACAGGUUCAGCGACGUGUUCUCGGAGGAGAUUCCAGCUGGGCUACCACCUCUCAGGGGAAUAGAACACCAGAUUGAUCUAGUGCCAGGAGCUGCUCUUCCCAAUAGACCAGCAUAUCGCAUGAAUCCCACCGAGGCCAAGGAACUUGAGAAGCAGGUUCAGGACUUAAUGUCUAAGGGGUAUAUACGCGAGAGCCUCAGCCCCUGUGCUGUCCCGGUUCUUCUAGUACCCAAGAAGGAUGGGACUUGGAGAAUGUGUGUGGAUUGUAGGGCUAUAAACAACAUAACCAUCAAAUACCGCCACCCUAUACCUCGACUUGAUGAUAUGUUGGAUGAACUACACGAGGCCACGGUCUUCUCAAAGGUGGACCUUCGCAGUGGCUACCAUCAAGUGAGGAUGAAGCAGGGAGACGAGUGGAAAACCGCUUUCAAGACCAAGCAGGGUCUAUAUGAGUGGCUCGUCAUGCCCUUUGGCCUCACUAACGCGCCAAGCACUUUUAUGAGGUUAAUGAAUCACAUCUUAAGGGCCUACAUUAGUAAGUUUGUAGUUGUGUAUUUUGAUGAUAUAUUAAUCUAUAGUAAGUGUUUUGCGGACCAUAUUCGGCACCUUGAGCAAGUAUUAGAGACUCUUCGUCAAGAAGGUCUUUAUGCGAACCUCAAGAAGUGCACCUUUUGCACUAAUGAGCUUGUGUUUUUAGGCUUUGUGGUAAGCUCUCAGGGAUUACGAGUUGAUCAAGAGAAGAUAAAGGCGAUUCAAGAAUGGCCCACACCCACGACCAUAGGACAUGUUCGAAGCUUCCAUGGGCUAGCAAGCUUCUAUAGGCGGUUUGUUAAAGACUUUAGCACCAUAGCCGCCCCUCUCACUGCUGUGAUCAAGAAAGAUGUGGCCUUUUCUUGGGGGCCAGCACAGGAUAAAGCUUUCCAAACUCUUAAAGUUCAUUUAACUAAUGCACCUGUUCUAGUUUUGCCUGAUUUUAACAAGACUUUUGAAAUCGAAUGUGAUGCUUCAGGAUUAGGUAUUGGUGCGGUGCUGACUCAAGGUGGGCGACCGGUGGCUUAUUUCAGUGAGAAGCUACACGGAGCUACACUAAACUACCCUACCUAUGACAAAGAAUUGUAUGCCCUUGUGAGAUCCAUGGAAACUUGGCAACACUACUUGUUAGCCAAGGAAUUUGUCAUUCACACCGAUCAUGAGACACUUAAGCAUCUAAGGGGGCAAACAUCACUCAAGAGGAGGCACGCGAGAUGGCUAGAGUACAUCGAGACUUUUCCCUACAUAAUCAAGUACAAAAAGGGGAAAGAGAAUAUAGUAGCCGAUGCACUCUCAAGGCGAUAUGCGCUUAUCACCACCCUGGAGGCCAAGGUGAUGGGGUUUGAGCAUAUCAAGGAACAAUACGAAGGAGAUCCCGACUUUGGAGAGGUUUACCAAGCCAGUGCCGAAGCCGUAGUGGGAUCUUUUCAUCAGCACGAAGGGUUCUUGUUCAGAGAUAAGCGCUUGUGCAUACCCCAAGGAUCAAUGAGGGAGCUGCUGAUCCGAGAAUCACAUGGAGGGGGUCUCAUGGGCCACUUUGGGGUAGACAAGACACUGAGCAUACUUGUGGAGCAUUUCUUUUGGCCCCACCUCAAGAGAGACGUCGAGAGGUUAUGCUCCAAAUGCGUCACUUGCCUCAAAUCCAAAUCCAGGUCACAUCCCUACGGUCUUUACACACCCUUAACUAUUCCUAACCUACCUUGGGUAGAUCUUUCUAUGGAUUUUGUUUUAGGUUUUCCGAAGAUCCGAAACAAGGACUCCAUAUUUGUAGUGGUGGACCGGUUCUCAAAAAUGGCGCAUUUCAUUCCAUGUUCAAAGACAAAUGAUGCUUCCCAAACCGCUGACUUGUUCUUCAAGGAGGUGGUACGCUUACAUGGGUUACCAAGGUCUAUAGUAUCUGAUCGUGAUACCAAGUUUUUAAGCCACUUUUGGAGGACAUUGUGGAGAAAGCUCGGGACCAAGCUACUCUUCUCAACGACUUGCCAUCCUCAGACGGAUGGGCAAACUGAGGUUGUCAAUCGAACUCUCUCCACCCUCUUAAGGGCCAUGGUUGGUAAAAAUUUAAAGAACUGGUUAGAGUGUCUUCCCUUUAUUGAGUUCUCUUAUAACCGUGCUACUCACUCGGCUACCAAGUUUUGUCCAUUUGAAGUUGCAUAUGGCUUUAAGCCACUCACUCCUCUAGAUCUUUCACCACUACCACCACGGGAGUAUGCUAAUCAAGAUGGAGAAAGCAAAGCGGAGACAGUUCGGAAGCUGCAUCAAAAGGUCAAAGAAAACAUUGAGAAAAAGACUGAACAAUACAAGAAACAAGCAGAUAAGGGACGCAAAGAGCUCACCUUCAAGCCAGGAGAUUGGGUUUGACUUCACAUGCGGCCGGAGAGGUUCCCUAACCAACGCAAAUCCAAGCUUUCAUCGCGAGGAGAUGGACCAUUCAAAGUGCUCGAGCGUAUCAAUAACAACGCUUACCGCCUAGAGUUACCAGGUGAGUUUAAUAUCUCUUCUAGUUUCAAUAUAUCUGACUUAGCUCCCUUCCACGCAGAUGAACAAGUUCUGAGGUCAGAACCUUCUCAAGCGGGAGGGAAUGAUGAGGACACUAGCUCGGAGCAACCCCAAGACUUGAAGAUUCCUACCAUGUACGAGCCACCAAGGACUAGGUCAGGCACGAGAAACAUGAGGGAAGGGUUCAAUGAAGCUGUGGAGGCUCUAAUGAUGCAAGAAGGACAUAAAGAACUCACCAAGACAAUGGAGCAACUCAAGAUUACAAGCCAAGAAUAAUAUGCCGUGGACGUGAAGGCACCAAGCCCAAGUUUAGACGAGGAAACGUGGCCGCUGCUAAAGACCUACCUUGGCCCAACAUUGCUCGUCAUUUCUCAAGUCCAAGACAUAGACAACCCCUCUUCGAACCACCUCUAAAGCAAUGUGAGUCUUUAAAUUUGAAUUCAUUAACAAAGUUUCCUUUUCUUGUUUUGCAGGUUUUAUCGUUAGGUUCUUUAGUUAAUUUUCCUUUUUAGAUUGUUCUUAGGGUUAUCGAAUUGUUCUCUUUACUUUUUACAGAGUCUGUUGCGUUUUGAGCUUUCAUUUUUUUGAUUUGUUGACCCUAGAAGGUCACAGCUGACGGACUAUUUAUAAAGUCCCAUAUGCAGCUUUGUAGCCUCACGUUUUACCUAUUAUCAAUAAAGAGAGCAUUUUCUUUAGCAAAACCCUAGAGCUACAAAGACUUGUGCGGCUGUCCCUUGUCCUUGUGUU
rnacentral:lncRNA from 1 species